UGGCAGAUUCUUACAUAAUUCAGUAUGUCAAAUUGACAAAUACAUUGUAUCUUGACAUGCGUGGGGAUCAAUUCGAUGAAAUUCAACGCUAUGUGUAUUUUACAACAGAAUGUGGCAAUCACCAUCAACAGGUUUUUUUCUAAACUAACAUGCAUGCACAAGUGUUUGAUUAUUAUCUUACUGAUUUUCGUUUUAUUUUUAAUUUUGCGCAUUAACCAUAACAUGGCCAAUAGUCAAUUAGUAUAUCUUGAAAUCAAUUUAUUAAAUGUUUUUAAUUUUAUCCAAUGAAACCUAGACAAUUGAAUAAUAUAAGAAUCGCAGUUAUCUAAUCCAGGCAAUUAAAUAAAACAAUAAGAAAGUUUCAAAUUUGAAAACAAAACUUAUCUUGUACACCAUUUCUUAUAAGGCGUAAACAAAUACCAUCUUACAAGG
rnacentral:lncRNA from 1 species